rnacentral:rRNA from 1 species
ACGAACGCUGGCGGCGUGCUUAACACAUGCAAGUCGCACGGAAAGGCCCUGCUUUUGUGGGGUGCUCGAGUGGCGAACGGGUGAGUAACACGUGAGUAACCUGCCCUUGACUUUGGGAUAACUUCAGGAAACUGGGGCUAAUACCGGAUAGGAGCUCCUGCUGCAUGGUGGGGGUUGGAAAGUUUCGGCGGUUGGGGAUGGACUCGCGGCUUAUCAGCUUGUUGGUGGGGUAGUGGCUUGCCAAGGCUUUAACGGGUAGCCGGCCUGAGAGGGUGACCGGCCACAUUGGGACUGAGAUACGGCCCAGACUCCUACGGGAGGCAGCAGUGGGGAAUAUUGCACAAUGGGCGGAAGCCUGAUGCAGCAACGCCGCGUGCGGGAUGACGGCCUUCGGGUUGUAAACCGCUUUCGCCUGUGACGAAGCGUGAGUGACGGUAAUGGGUAAAGAAGCACCGGCUAACUACGU